rnacentral:lncRNA from 1 species
GGCUCAGUGGUAACGAACCCAACUAGUAUACAUGAGGAUGCAGGUUUGAUCCCUGGCCUUGCUCAGUGGGUUAAGGAUCUGGCAUUGCCAUGAGCUGUAGUGUAGGUCGCAGACGAGGCUCGGAUCCGGCAUUGCUGUGGCUCUGGCGUAGGCUGGCAGCUGCAGCUCUGAUUCAACCCGUAGCCUGGGAACCUCCACCUUCAAGGCCCUGUCCUUUCCUGUUAGCUGUGUGCAUACAAGAGAGAAAAGCAACUUCCUGCCCACUGGUUGUCUUUACUCUUGAGUGAUAAGUGGGAAGACCCCCGUGGUCCCUUCAGCCCGAGCCUUUCCCCCUGAGGCUGGGGCUGCAAGGUCCCGGGAUUUGGCCCAGGUGGCCUGCAUCCUCAGCAAGCCUGUUGGAGUCCUGCCUCCACCCUCCUGGCAUCACAGUCCCCUUGACUCUUGCCAGCAUGACUUAUCAGAUUGCUCUGACCAAUCGGCCUUUCCUGACGAAUUACGCAAAGGGCCAAUGAAAAAUUAGUGUACAAAGAGAGUCAAAAAGAAAGGAAAAAAACAGGUUGCUGAGCAACCCAACUCCGUAAGCAGUAAGCAGAGGGAGAUGCUAUUUUUACACCAGGAAGGUGGCUGCAGUUGAUUUUGUAGCAAACUCCUGGCCUCAACCACUGGAGUGACCUCCUGGAAACCUCCCAAUGAACUGCAGAGCCACCAACUGCCUAGGGUAGGUCUCUGAUGAAAUGAGGCCUCUUCAGAAAGGGCUCCACAGCAAUUAUGUCUCUCAGAGUGCCCUGUGCUCUUCCUGCAGAGCACACAUCAACGUUUGUAAUUAUAAAGGUAUUUGCUGGGUUUUGUGAAAUCUCCCUCUCUGCACUGGACUGGAAGCUGGCGGAGGGGAGGCACAGGGCCUGCUUCUCUUCAUCACUGUUUAUCGCCAGCAUGUAUUACACCGGCUGUUCACAAUAGGUCUCAAUCUUUGUAGAAUGAAUUGAUGAAUGAGUGGAAAUUAGAUUGAUACUAGUACGUUGGAUCUGAUUGUCAUGAAAUGUCAUCUCUAGUCAAAAUGUGGGAGACCAUUAGGAUUUCAAAGGUUUUUCUGUAAGUUGCUAACAGAAGUAUUUUUCAACAACAAAAUACCUAAAUGCUGGUACCUGCUGUGUGCUGUCCCCUAAAUUAGCCAGCAUGCUUGCACUGGGAGCACCCAGAUCUGUGAGUCGCCAUGCUAUGUGACCUUGGAGCUCAGCUGGGAAAGAGAAGAUGAGCCAGGCAUGUGGGCUCUUCCAGGGGGCCUGCGCAGAACAGCAGAGCAGGGGAAGGGGCUGGGGUGCCCACCGCUGGGGGAGCAGUAGCUGUGUGGUCCUGGGAGGCCUCCGGAUCAGGUGCCUCAGAGAGGAGACCUAAGAAGCGAGGGGCGGCUGUGCAGACACAGCAGACCCUCCCCUUGCCCUGGCUGUGCCCCAACACCGCCUUCUUGCUCACUCUCCUGCUCCGGCUCCUCACCUUUCCCGCCAGCAGAUGCUGGGAGGCCCUGCCCUUCCGUUUGGUGGGUUCCCCCCUCUCCUCUGUCUACACACACCUGUCUCUGGGUGGUUUCACCCAGACUCAAGUUCUUAAAUCCACACACAAAUGUCUCCCCUCUGGAACUCAUCUCCAGACCUCAGUUUGUAAACCUAGCUGCGGAAGCCCUGGCCAAACAGCAAUGAUUUCUGCAUUAAGCUUCCAGACACAGAGGGGUCAUCCUUUCUCUAGGCAAUUUGUUUCACUCCUGGACACUCUUGAGUUGUGAGGAGGGUCGUUUGCUUCUCCAAGUUCCUUUUGGUUCUGGAACCCCAAAAUGCCCACAUUCUUGUCCAACUGAUGGUUAAACAUCUCAAGGUAGCUAUUGUGUGUCUUUUAGCUGCCUCCUUGUAUGUUUCCAGACCUUUAAUAGAUACUUGAUACGUGCAUGUUAAGUGUAAAGCAUGGCGCUAGGUGCUUUGGUUACUGAAAUGAUGGUCACAGAGUCUGUCCUCUGGCAUCUCGUGGCUCGGUAGGGGCAACAGGCUUUGUCCUGCAUGAGCUAGGACAUGGUGAACGUGCUGCAGCACCGACCCCAAAUGCAAGGGGGCCAAUCAGACGAAGUGCUGCUGAGGGGUGUCCGGGUGGCGGUCCAUGUGGUCUCAGGGCGGAGCAGGCCUGUGGAGGGUCAGUAGGACUCAGACGUGGGAGGCUGGGGAGGCUGAGAGACUGUGCGGGAGAAGGUAGGAGGGACUGGCACAAGGGGCCAGGAGGAACUCUUGUUUUGCUGCUCGAGGACCCUGGGUGCCUUAGUAGUUCUCUGGGCCUUUGUAAUGAACUAGGCAGCUUCAACUACAGAAAUGAAAAGUCCCAAGGUCUGGAGACCAGAUGCCUAAAAUCCUGGUAUCGGCAGAGCCGUGCUCCCGAGGGCUCUCGAGGAGGACCCUGUCUUACCCCUUCCAGCUUCCCGUGGCUCCAGUGGGAAUUAGGUAGGAGGGUAGUCUCAAGGCAAACAUAUACUUCUUUGAAAUCCAAGCUAAGGAAUUCAGUCUUUAUUCCUUAGGCCUGUGGCUCUAAGUCUUGGCUGUUCAUCAGAAAUACCUGGAAAUCUUUUAAAAAUGCUGAUGUCUGGAUUCUGCACCCAACCUGCAUCAGAAUCUGCCUAGGUGUUUCUGACACUUAACCGGGCUUAGAGCCACUCCUCUGGCUGACCAGGACCUGUUUCUCUCCUUAUGACAUCAGUUUUAGGACACCUCGAAGUCUCGAACAGUCACACCAAAGUGUUUUCUAGAGUUUCCAUUCUAAAAUAUUGCCCUCCAAAUGGAGUAUAAUCCCCACAAGAUUGUGUGGCCAGCCCAAGCACACUGGGAUGAUGGUUUAUUUUGUUCUGUUUAUUCCUCCUCUCUGGAUGCGGUACAAUGGUGGUCUUUUUCACAGUAGCCAGAUCUGCUCUUGGCUCCAUGCAGUUUAUGGUCUAUUGAAACUCUUCCCACAUCUUUCCACAUGAAUGGCUAUAAAUCCAGGUUUUCCCUAUCCAGUACUUGUGCAAUUGAUUUUUGGAUCCUAAAUACAGGCCUUGACAAUAUAUCUGUUUAAUUUCAUCUUGCAGUUUAAGUCAAGUGUUCUAGCCUGUUGAGGCCUUUGUAGUUCAAGUCUGUCGUUUAUCAUGUUAGCAACAUCUCAUAAGUCUGUCAUCUGCGGAUUUGAUAAACAUGCCUUUUCGGGCUUCGUCCAAAUUGCUGUAAACCAAGUUAAACAUGUCUCAGAGAGAGAUAUAUGAUAUUCCUCAGCGUCUGACCUCCAUUGGCAAAUACUCUUAGUUCCUAAAUCAGCUGUCAUUGAGCCAACUCUUAAUCAAGCCAUAUUUUAUUCUCAAAGAAUUCUUUGAAACUUCAGUCAUCUGGGAGGUGUUGCAAAUUUAUAAUUAGUCCCUGAAGUAAAGGACAAGAAGACCAAAUAAUGGCAGGCAAAAUUGACCAGGGUCAUGAACACGUCAUUUGGGCUGUACUGAGUAAACUCAAGCCACAAACAAAGAAUGUUUAUUGUCAACUUUGAGCUGAAAGCAAUCAGUGAGUCAACCAAGCAUCGAGUGACUAUAUGCUAAGAAACAAAUUCAGAGUCCAUAUAUACAAUUUUUGAAGCUAGAAGCUAGAGCAUAGUAUUAAGUUUGCUGCAAUUCCAAACCCAACUUAUGUUCUAAAAAAUACCCGGAAUGUCCACUCAGAGUCCCUUUUUGGAAAGCCUACUGUACAUUUAUCAUGAUACUGCAUGCUCUGGAAUAUAGUGACAUGUGGCCACCCGGGACAAGAGAAGGACAUGAUGAGACGGGGUGAUUGGAGGAGAUCUGCUGCCCAGCUGUGUGGAGGCGUGAAGUGAAGAGUUCAGGCUCCUGAGAAGGACAGAUCUGAUUCAAACACUAGUAUACAGUUCAUUGCUGUGUGACCUCCACCAAAUUAAUGAACUUCUCUGAACGUCAUUCUGACUGUCAGUUAACCAUAACAGAAGCCAAACUAACAAGAUUGUUAGGAUGAAAUGAGAUGCGUGGAGUCUGACUUAGGAGCAGGCCCAGCACAUAGUGGUCAGACACGUUGACUUUUCUAUGAAGGUUUGACAAGUAAAGGCAAUACGUGAACCUGAGCCAAAAAAAGGACGUUAGUAGGAGAUGUGGCAAAUAUUGAAUAGUGACUCUAGACGAGUUAAGGUAGUUGCAUCAAUGUUUGUAUCUUGAUCUCGAUCAUUGGACUGUGGCUGCGUGACAUCUGGGGAUACUGAAGGACACACAGCAGUGCUUUAUAUUUUUUCUGCAACCCUUUUGUAAGUGUGUGAUUGUUUCAAUAUGAGCUUAAAGAAAUGUAAUUAUCAACUCCUUUAAUGUGUGUGUCUAUCACACCGUAUCAGUGUCUCCAUCUUCAGUGGGGAGACUGCAAUAAAAUGAGACCUUUAUAGGACAACACACGGUUGUUACUGAUGAUUCAGUGCGGGUGAAAGAGGCUGGAGAUAGCCAGAGACUGGACUCACCGACCUAGAGCCCCAUGUUAUGUGCCUGGAGACUCUUCCCAAGUUCAUAGUAGCCCCUUGACCAGAAUCAUUGCCGUGCACUGGGGACACGUCUGCGGUUUGGACAUUAUGAGGAUGGCAGUGCAUUUCCCCUGGAUAUUCCUGGGAAGGGUGGGGCUGGACACUCACCAUAGGGUACCCUGUGAACAGUUAAAGGUGAUGGGCAGGGGUGCAGAUACGGCUGCCCGUAGGGGACAGAGGAGCUGGGGACAGAGGCACAGGCUCCAAAUCUGACAAACAGGAACUAGGACCAGAGUCAGGACCGUGAACGCUGGGCCUCUGGGAGGAGUUGGCAAGGCUGAUUACCAACUGCUGCUAGCAUCUUCCCUUAACCAGGGCCGCCACGGGUUCCCAUGGGCAGUCUGGGCUGUUUGCCCAUGGCCCCAUUUACCACGGAGGGCGUGGGGAAAGCAGCCCUGGAGAGGUUUUAUGCAGGAGGUCUCUGGCUCCAUCCUCUUGACCUAAUCCGUGCUCAAAGACCUCACCUCCUGACACCAUCACAGGACACAGAGCUGAGUGACAACCAGCACUUUUGACCCCAGAUCCCUUCACUCCUGAAGCUCUGAUGUGAACUUGUCAAUGACGUGAACCAAUACAUCUCAAAAGAGUUACAAGGACAGAACGUAAAGAAACAAAUGCUUUAAAUGUCGAAUGGUUGUAAUGUAAAUUUGCUCUUGUGUUAUUUGCAAGAGGCCUUCCAAACAUCCUUAAAAUGGGACAGAAAAUCAAAACCCUUUAUAGAACACAAUGGAUGACAUAUUUUCAGACAUUAAAAGGGGCUGAAAAUAAUAUCCGUGGCUGUCAGCCACCUAUAACAUGUUCAAGGUUUGCUAUUUUAUUUUUUAUUUUUGUCUUUUUGUCCUUUUAGGGCCACAACCAAGGCAUAUGGAGAUUCCCAGGCUAGGGGUCUAAUCGUAGCUGUUGCUGCCAGCCUACGCCAGAGCUACAGCAACACCAGAUCUAAGCUGUGUCUGCAACCUACACUGCAGCUCACGGCAAUGCCGGAUCUUUAACCCACUGAGCGAUGCCAGGGAUUGAACCCGCAAUCUCAUGGUUCCUAGUGGGAUUCGUUUCUGCUGUGCCACGACGGGAACGCCAAGGUUUGCUAUUUUAAAAAGACAGUCUACGAGAGAGAAAAUGGGGGGGGGGGUCUUGUUUUCAUCUAAAAUUUGAAAGUGGAUGUGACAAUCUGAGACAGAGGUUAGUGAAUAACCUGAAAUGCUGUUUAAACCUGUCUGCAUGGUACACGGUGGAACUCCCUUCAGAAACAUAAAAGUUAGUUCCCUUGUUUCUUUCUUAAUUUGAAGAUAACAAUGGCCCUUCAGUUUUAGAUAGAGUUAUGGUUAAAGUGAUAGGGAUCUCAGAAUUCCCCUUGUGGCACAGCAAAAAUGAAUCCGGCUAGUAUCCAUGAGGAUGUGGGUUCGAUCCCAGGCCUCGUUAAGUGGGUCGGAGAUCCAGCAUUGCCGUGAGCUGUGGCAUCAGCUGCAGAUGCUGCUCGGAUUCCGCAUUGCUGUGACUGUGGUGUAGGCCAGAAGCUGCAGCUCCAAUUCGACCCCUAGCCGGGGAAUUUCCAUACGCUGCAGGUGUGGCCCC